GAGUUUGAUCAUGGCUCAGAUUGAACGCUGGCGGCAGGCCUAACACAUGCAAGUCGAGCGGAUGACGGGAGCUUGCUCCUUGAUUCAGCGGCGGACGGGUGAGUAAUGCCUGGGAAUCUGCCUGGUAGUGGGGGACAACGUUUCGAAAGGUAACGCUAAUACCGCAUACGUCCUACGGGAGAAAGCAGGGGACCUUCGGGCCUUGCGCUAUCAGAUGAGCCUAGUCGGAUUAGCUAGUUGGUGGGUAAUGGCUCACCAAGGCGACGAUCCGUAACUGGUCUGAGAGGAUGAUCAGUCACACUGGAAUUGAGACACGGUCCAGACUCCUACGGGAGGCAGCAGUGGGGAAUAUUGGACAAUGGGCGAAAGCCUGAUCCAGCCAUGCCGCGUGUGUGAAGAAGGUCUUCGGAUUGUAAAGCACUUUAAGUU
rnacentral:rRNA from 1 species